CUACGGACAAAGGGCAAGCAAGUUCGCGAGGACAAGCAAAUCCCAUAAACCGUGGCUCAGUUCAGAUCGUAGGCUGCAACUCGCCUACGUGAAGGAGGAAUCGCUAGUAAUCGCAGGUCAGCAUACUGCGGUGAAUACGUUCCCGGGCCUUGUACACACCGCCCGUCACACCAUGGAAGUUGGCCACGCCCGAAGCCGUUACUCCAACCCUUGUGGAGGAGGACGUCGAAGGUGGGGCUGAUGACUGGGGUGAAGUCGUAACAAGGUAGCCGUACCGGAAGGUGCGGCUGGAUCACCUCCUAA
rnacentral:rRNA from 1 species